rnacentral:rRNA from 1 species
AUGAAGAACGUAGCAAAAUGCGAUACUUGGUGUGAAUUGCAGAAUCCCGUGAACCAUCGAGUAUUUGAACGCAAGUUGCGCCCGAAGCCGAGAGGCCCAGGGCUCGCC